UGUGUAACGCGUAUAGAACCUAGCAUUAUAUUGGGGGAUAGCCCAGAGAAAUUUGGAUUAAUACCCCAUAGUAUUGGGAUGUGGCAUCACAACCUAAUUAAAGAUUUAUCGAUAUAAGAUGGGUAUGCGUUCUAUUAGCUAGUUGGUAUGGUAACGGCAUACCAAGGCUACGAUAGAUAGGGGUCCUGAGAGGGAGAUCCCCCACACUGGUACUGAGACACGGACCAGACUCCUACGGGAGGCAGCAGUGAGGAAUAUUGGACAAUGGAGGCAACUCUGAUCCAGCCAUGCCGCGUGCAGGAAGACUGCCCUAUGGGUUGUAAACUGCUUUUAUAGAGGAAGAAACCGCUCUACG
rnacentral:rRNA from 1 species